rnacentral:rRNA from 1 species
GACGAACGCUGGCGGCGUGCUUAACACAUGCAAGUCGAGCGGAAAGGCCACUUCGGUGGUACUCGAGCGGCGAACGGGUGAGUGACACGUGAGUAAUCUGCCCUUCACUCUGGGAUAGCCACCGGAAACGGUGAUUAAUACCGGAUACGACCACUCCACGCACGUGGUGGUGGUGGAAACUUUUUGGGUGGGGGAUGUGCUCGCGGCCUAUCAGCUUGUGGGUGGGGUAAUGGCCUACCGAGGCUUCGACGGGUAGCCGGCCUGAGAGGGUGACCGGCCACACUGGGACUGAGACACGGCCCAGACUCCUACGGGAGGCGGCGGUGGGGAAUAUUGGACAAUGGGCGGAAGCCUGAUCCAGCAACGCCGCGUGAGGGAUGACGGCCUUCGGGUUGUAAACCUCUUUCAGCACCGACGAAGCGCAAGUGACGGUAGGUGCAGAAGAAGGACCGGCCAACUACGUGCCAGCCGCCGCCGUAA